rnacentral:rRNA from 1 species
UACGUAGGGUGCGAGCGUUAAUCGGAAUUACUGGGCGUAAAGCGUGCGCAGGCGGUUCGUUGUGUCCGAUGUGAAAGCCCCGGGCUUAACCUGGGAAUGGCAUUGGAAACUGGCGAGCUUGAGUGCGGCAGAGGGGGUGGAAUUCCGGGUGUAGUGGUGAAAUGCGUAGAGAUCCGGAGGAACCCCAGAGGCGAAGGCGGCGCCCUGGCUCGCAACUGACGCUCAGACACGACAGCAUGGGGAGCGAACGGG